GGCUCAGGACGAACGCUGGCGGCGUGCUUAACACAUGCAAGUCGAACGGUAAGGCCUUUCGGGGUACACGAGUGGCGAACGGGUGAGUAACACGUGGGUGAUCUGCCCUGCACUUCGGGAUAAGCCUGGGAAACUGGGUCUAAUACCGGAUAUGACCGCAUGCUUCAUGGUGUGUGGUGGAAAGCUUUUGCGGUGUGGGAUGGGCCCGCGGCCUAUCAGCUUGUUGGUGGGGUAAUGGCCUACCAAGGCGACGACGGGUAGCCGGCCUGAGAGGGUGACCGGCCACACUGGGACUGAGAUACGGCCCAGACUCCUACGGGAGGCAGCAGUGGGGAAUAUUGCACAAUGGGCGCAAGCCUGAUGCAGCGACGCCGCGUGAGGGAUGACGGCCUUCGGGUUGUAAACCUCUUUCAGUAGGGACGAAGCGCAAGU
rnacentral:rRNA from 1 species